rnacentral:rRNA from 1 species
AAAUUGGUGCUAAUACCGGAUGUGACCGCUGACCGCAUGGUCUGGUGGUGGAAAGAUUCAUCGGCUGAGGAUGGGCCCGCGGCCUAUCAGCUUGUUGGUGGGGUAGUGGCCCACCAAGGCGACGACGGGUAGCCGGCCUGAGAGGGUGACCGGCCACACUGGGACUGAGACACGGCCCAGACUCCUACGGGAGGCAGCAGUGGGGAAUAUUGCGCAAUGGGCGGAAGCCUGACGCAGCGACGCCGCGUGAGGGAUGACGGCCUUCGGGUUGUAAACCUCUUUCAGUAGGGACGAAGCGAAAGUGACGGUACCUACAGAAGAAGCACCGGCCAACUACGUGCCAGCAGCCGCGGUAAUACGUAGGGUGCAAGCGUUGUCCGGAAUUAUUGGGCGUAAAGAGCUCGUAGGCGGUCUGUCGCGUCGGCUGUGAAAACCCGAGGCUCAACCUCGGGCCUGCAGUCGAUACGGGCAAACUAGAGUACUGCAGGGGAGACUGGAAUUCCUGGUGUAGCGGUGAAAUGCGCAGAUAUCAGGAGGAACACCGGUGGCGAAGGCGGGUCUCUGGGCAGUAACUGACGCUGAGGAGCGAAAGCGUGNGGAGCGAACAGGAUUAGAUACCCUGGUAGUCCACGCCGUAAACGUUGGGCGCUAGGUGUGGGGGCCAUUCCACGGUCUCCGUGCCGCAGCUAACGCAUUAAGCG